rnacentral:lncRNA from 1 species
GAGAAGUGACCACCACCUCCCCAGUCUCAGCCCUGGAAAACGUUUGCAGACAGAUGCUUCAAAGCCUUUCACUCCAACCAGACACUUCAUUUGUCAUUGACAAGGGUGACACAGGAGCCCUUGUGAUCACCAGUCAGGAGGCUCUGGAGUGUGUCAGGGAUUUUUGUACUUCAGAAAAGAAUGCGCACUGCUCACAGUGCACUGUGUCACUGUUUACAUCAAGGUCGUUGGGUCCCUUGUUCUCAUCCUUUGUGACCAAAAGCAAGGCUGCACCAUCACCCAAAGGAGGACCUGCCCUUGGAGUUCCUGACUCCACAUACAAAACAGCUGACCUGAGCAGCAUGUGUGGUGGUGUGGGCCAGCUGCCAGGAGCCCUGUGA